rnacentral:rRNA from 1 species
AACGAACGCUGGCGGCAGGCUUAACACAUGCAAGUCGAGCGCCCCGCAAGGGGAGCGGCAGACGGGUGAGUAACGCGUGGGAAUCUACCCAUCUCUACGGAAUAACGCAUGGAAACGUGUGCUAAUACCGUAUACGUCCUUCGGGAGAAAGAUUUAUCGGAGAUGGAUGAGCCCGCGUUGGAUUAGCUAGUUGGUGGGGUAAAGGCCUACCAAGGCGACGAUCCAUAGCUGGUCUGAGAGGAUGAUCAGCCACACUGGGACUGAGUCACGGCCCAGACUCCUACGGGAGGCAGCAGUGGGGAAUAUUGGACGAUGGGCGCAAGCCCGAUCCAGCCAUGCCGCGUGAGUGAUGAAGGCCCUAGGGUUGUAAAGCUCUUUCACCGGUGAAGAUAAUGACGGUAACCGGAGAAGAAGCCCCGGCUAACUUCGUGCCAGCCGCCGCGGUAAAAC